rnacentral:rRNA from 1 species
CAGUCGCCGCGGGAAUACGUAGGUGGCAAGCGUUGUCCGGAAUUAUUGGGCGUAAAGGGCUCGCAGGCGGUUUCUUAAGUCUGAUGUGAAAGCCCCCGGCUCAACCGGGGAGGGUCAUUGGAAACUGGGAAACUUGAGUGCAGAAGAGGAGAGUGGAAUUCCACGUGUAGCGGUGAAAUGCGUAGAGAUGUGGAGGAACACCGGUGGCGAAGGCGACUCUCUGGUCUGUAACUGACGCUGAGGAGCGAAAGCGUGGGGAGCAAACAGGAUUAGAUACCCGCGUAGUCCCUGUCUCUUAUAA